CUCUAGGAUAUGGAUCAACUUGUUCUUUGGAGGACAAGUCACACAGCCAAUGACUCAGCUCCCCUUGCCCCAAAGCUUAUGUGACAACAGACAGACAAUGCACCGGGCAGAUGGCUCGCUAAAGAACUGUUCUGACAGCUGCUAAUGUAAGACUGAACUAAGUUUCCAGAAGGAGCUGCAAAGACGUGAAUGGUUCCAACCAUCUUAAAGCAGUUCAGCAAAAGCUGCAACCUGAGAUAAGACCACAGUCACAUACCCGACUCUCCCUUACCCCCAUUCUAUGAAAACUCCAAUGUGGUUCCUGCUCAGGGAGUUGUUCUGUGAGGUCCUCUCCAAUGCACAUUAGCUAAAUAACAGCCUUCACCCUCUGA